GAUGAACGCUGGCGGCGUGCUUAACACAUGCAAGUCGAACGGAAAGGCUCCUGCUUGCAGGGGUACUCGAGUGGCGAACGGGUGAGUAACACGUGGGUGAUCUGCCCUGCACUUCGGGAUAAGCCUGGGAAACUGGGUCUAAUACCGGAUAGGACCACCUUUUGGAUGGUGUGGUGGAAAGUUUUUCGGUGUGGGAUGAGCUCGCGGCCUAUCAGCUUGUUGGUGGGGUAAUGGCCUACCAAGGCGUCGACGGGUAGCCGGCCUGAGAGGGUGUACGGCCACAUUGGGACUGAGAUACGGCCCAGACUCCUACGGGAGGCAGCAGUGGGGAAUAUUGCACAAUGGGCGCAAGCCUGAUGCAGCGACGCCGCGUGGGGGAUGACGGCCUUCGGGUUGUAAACUCCUUUCGCUAGGGACGAAGCGCAAGUGACGGUACCUGGUGAAGAAGCACCGGCUAACUACGUG
rnacentral:rRNA from 1 species